rnacentral:rRNA from 1 species
CCUACGGGAGGCAGCAGUGAGGAAUAUUGGUCAAUGGACGCAAGUCUGAACCAGCCAAGCCGCGUGCAGGAAGACGGCUCUAUGAGUUGUAAACUGCUUUUGUACGAGGGUAAACGCAGAUACGCGUAUCUGUCUGAAAGUAUCGUACGAAUAAGGAUCGGCUAACUCCGUGCCAGCAGCCGCGGUAAUACGGAGGAUUCGAGCGUUAUCCGGAUUUAUUGGGUUUAAAGGGUGCGUAGGCGGUCUGAUAAGUUAGAUGUGAAAGCCCGAGGCUCAACCUCGGAAUUGCCGUUGAUACUGGUCGGCUAGAGAGUAGUAGCGGUAGGCGGAAUGCAUGGUGUAGCGGUGAAAUGCUUAGAUAUCAUACAGAACACCGAUUGCGAAGGCAGCUUACCAAGCUACUUCUGACGCUGAGGCACGAAAGCGUGGGGAGCAAACAGGAUUAGAUACCCUAGUAGUC